AGGGUUUUUCCAUUCCAGCUAUCAAUCUUCCCUUGUUGUGGUUUGAGAGAAAGAGAGAAGUAUUCGAGGAGGGACGUGUAAUCAAAAAGAAAACCCGAGUGGAAGAUUUCAUCAGUGUCCCCCUCAUCUGCUGACAGCAGUCAGUGAACAUCCAACAUCAACUGGACUCUGCCUCCUUGGAAAGGCCCCAGGCUUGAUCUGGAUGAAUGACCUCUGUGUACAGUUACCUUUGACUUGGCCUCCUACCUGAAAACACAAAGAGGGACAGUUACAUAAGACCCUUUAUACAACGUGUUUUUGACAUUUUUCCCAUCAAGAGGAGGGGUCUAUAUUUCUUCCACUUGAACCUAGAUGACUUUACCACCACGGCAGAAGUGACACUAUAUGACUUCCAAGGCUGGGUCAUAAAAUGCAAUACAGCUCUUUGCCUUCUCAAGCUGUUCACCCCAACCCAGCCACGAGGCUGGGAGGUAUCCUGGGCAACAAGGAGAGACCCUAUGUAAAGGCUGCAGCCAACUCUCCAGCAGAGUUCCCCACCAACACCCAACAUCAAUGGCCAGAUGAGUGAGGGAAGGCAUCUGCAGGUGAUUCAGCCCCAGCCAUUGAGUCCCCACCAGCCUUCAAGUCUUCCCAGUGGAUUUUCCCAGACAUCAAGGUGCUGUCCCUGCUGUGGGCCCACUCUGAAUUCCUGAUCCCCAGAAGCUGUCAUAUUAAAAUAACUCGUCAUCUUAGUGUCUUAUGUUUGGGGUGUUUUGUUAUUCAGCAAUCCAGACUCUACCUCUUCUAUAAAGCCUAGAAAAGGGCCAGAACUGGAACUCUCUUUUUCCUAUUUCUAACAUCUGUGGGGCCUGUGGCAAGAAUACAAAUAAAAGCCCACAUACCAUAUGUCUAAAUAUUUUAAAACUAUAAAUCAAGCUAAUAAACUAAGUAAAA
rnacentral:lncRNA from 10 species